UCUCCCGCUUCCCUCCCUGAGCGGGUGCCCUUCGGUUGCGUGAACUCACCUGCCGAAGGGCGUUCUUAGGCCCCGUGUCACUCCCCUUGACGGCGGGGCCUUUCUUUU
rnacentral:ncRNA from 1 species